rnacentral:rRNA from 1 species
UACGUAGGUCCCGAGCGUUGUCCGGAUUUAUUGGGCGUAAAGCGAGCGCAGGUGGUUUAUUAAGUCUGGUGUAAAAGGCAGUGGCUCAACCAUUGUGUGCAUUGGAAACUGGGAGACUUGAGUGCAGAAGAGGAGAGUGGAACUCCAUGUGUAGCGGUGAAAUGCGUAGAUAUAUGGAAGAACACCAGUGGCGAAAGCGGCUCUCUGGCCUGUAACUGACACUGAGGCUCGAAAGCGUGGGGAGCAAACAGG